UCCUUCCUCUCUGGAGUCCUUCCUGCAAACCGAGAUCUUCACAUACAGUUCUUGCUGCAGUAAAAAUCAAAGAGAAGCGAGGAGGCUUAACCUUUCCCAGCAGUUUUUUUGUUCAAGAAGUUUGUGGCUUGGUUUGGGAACUGCUUUGCACACCUGGGAUGCAACGCUGAUCGAUACUUGCAUGGCACCAAUCUUCUGCAUAAAAUGAAGUCUGGAAAAAUGAG